rnacentral:rRNA from 1 species
UACGGGGGGGGCAAGCGUUGUUCGGAAUUACUGGGCGUAAAGGGCUCGUAGGCGGCCAACUAAGUCGGACGUGAAAUCCCUCGGCUUAACCGGGGAACUGCGUCCGAUACUGGAUGGCUUGAGUGUGGGAGAGGGAUGCGGAAUUCCAGGUGUAGCGGUGAAAUGCGUAGAUAUCUGGAGGAACACCGGUGGCGAAGGCGGCAUCCUGGACCACGACUGGCGCUGAGUGAGCGAAAGCCAGGGGAGCAAACAGG